GGGCCAAAGGGCUCGGGAGUUGCCUCUGCUGUGAUGUAAACUGGGGGCAGCUGAAAACUGACAGAGGAGGAAUGAAUUGCAGGACACGUGCAGGUGAUAAGCUGAGCUGAACUACAGCAGCUACGGAACAGGGGGAGAGAGAAGAGAGAAAGAGAGAGUGGAGAGAGAGAGAGAGA